rnacentral:lncRNA from 1 species
GAGCUUCAUGCUUCGAGUCGGGGAAGAAAAGACGGAGGAUUGGAUUUUUCUUCUUCAUAGAGUUUUGGGAAGACUGAGGCAAUCAUUGCUGAAGUCAGUGUUGUAAUGGUGAAUCGGGAUUUUUUAAUGAAGUGGGUUUGAUUACUCUUGACUGUUUUGUGAAAUUGAGUUACGUCUGUGAUUGAAGAAUUAAAAGGGUGUCUAUAGGAUUGAGUAUGCAGAGUGAAUGAAAUUUAUUGGGUUAAUCUAACAA